AACAUCGCCCUCUGCUGUCCACAUCCGCUCACUACACACACAGGGACGCAAGAUCACACGUGCGUUGAGUUUUACUAAUUAGCUCCCCUGCCUCAGCUCCCCUGCCAAGUGGUUUUCUGGUCCUCCACUGUAUGGCAGUUCCCAGAAACCAGAACGUGUGUGUACUGUUUUGUUGAGGUCUGUUGUGACUUAUUUGACAUCUCUUCCUGUUUCACGGGUUAAAGAUUUUUUGAAGUAAAGAGGAGCAUCUCAUCUGAUCUGAACCUGAUGUCUAUCAUGGAUAUUUAACUGCAGUUCUGUGAGUAUCCCAACUCAACCAUUAAGAUGAACUGCAAACUGUAAGUCAUAAGUUUCUAAUUACUCUUGGGCACAUUGAUGUAUUUUGGCUUCCCUUUGAGUUAACCCGUUAGCUGAAGGUUGAUCUGAGUAGUAAGGAUGUUUUAUUGGUUCAUGGGUUACUUAGGCGUUUGGUUUAUGUUGGUUUUAAUGGUUUGUUAAAAUGGUUUCAGGUUCAAAGUUAUUGUUGUAAGCUGGAGUAAUGGGUUGGGUUCUGAUAUCUUCAGUCUUCUUUCCAGCUACUCUCCUGAGCUCUGCAUCUUCAUCACAUGAGUGUUGCUUUACUGUUGAGGGUGGGGUCUGAGUGAGCAGAGGUGCAUACUGGGAUACAGAGCUGUCUCAAGUCUACAGGUCUGUAGACACGCCCCCUCAGGGGAAACCGAGUGUUUGAGAAACCGUUGUGACGUCAGUUACAUGGACUGGAAUGUUCUUUAAGAUGGAGACAGGGAUUCAGAAGGAGAAACACCAAGGGGAGAUGAGGGGGCUCCUCAUCUCAACGACUAAAACACAACUUCAGUCUGACACAGAGAACCAUGGAACACAUUCAGUCCCCUCCAGGCAUCGUGACUCCUCAGGAACAGUUUUAUUUCCAAGAAGGUCUUAUUUGGGGCCAUCCCCAGAUGGAUCCUGCAUCUGAAGAGCCACCCCCCUCCACUUGGUGGUCUUCUGAACAGAUGACCUCCUUCCUGUCCUCAGGCUGACUAAAGCUGCACCGUUUGCAUCUGUGAAGGCCCCUCAUUCAGGAAACCACUGGACUACAAAGACAUGACUUCAGAGACAUUGAAUAAACCUGGGACACAUUUUGGAGACGCUAAGCAUAAUCCAUCACCAACGUGGGACGCCACUGAAGAAUGUUGUACAUAAUUUACGUCUCUGGAGGAUGAUGGAAUGUUAUUUGGCAUGAGGUUUUUACCCUGCAUGAUUGUUUGGCCUUUUAUGGCUCAGUGGUGUGUGUGUUUGGGUUUGACAUGAGAUGGAUGAUUUUUGAGCAUUGCUUGGGUUCUACUGUGUGUGUCUCCCACACACACCUGGCAUGGGGUUCUACGUGUGUUUGGUUCCACCUGGCAUGGGGUUCUACGUGCCUGUCCUGGGUUCUAUGUGUGUGUCCGGCUUGCUUUGACAGUGAUAAUGUUCAUACAGGGUUCUGUGUGAUUGGCUUGGGAUAUUGGAAUGGUCAAAUAAAUCAUACCUGAUGGAUGACCACACGUUUACUUGAGGCCUCCAGUAGACAUGAAGAGCCCUGAGCGACGCUCCGGAGUGAUAUCCAACACACUGGGCAGGAAGGAGAGUAUCCAACUCAAGUGUAAAAGGAUGCAAGCGGGUGUUCAGAUCAGUGACUUCAAACUAGGACUACACCAAUCAGGAUCAAUGGAGGAUGGACACCUAAAGGCAUUCCACAAGGAGAGUCUGAAGUUGGAAAGGAACCUAAAUUGGUAUUCAAGAUGACCUUCAGACCUGUAAUGAGACGGCUCUUCCUACCUGGCUGGAUUGAUGGAGAGCCCUGUGGAUCUUGUCUUGCUCUCCGUUGCACAUCUUCUCAGGCUGUACUGUAUUUGUUUCGGGACAGGACUAGCUGAACGAUUGGUUCUCUUAAAUCAGAACAAAUCUGGGAACUCCAACUAGUGCGCUCUUCGAGCUGAAGUUGUGCUCUUCAGCUGAGGAGGUAAGGAAACCUUCACUGGGGCUUCAAGGUGUAAAGAGGAGAAUGUUUCAAAGUGUUCCAUGGUACUCUGAUGAAGACCCUUGUUGUGUUCCACUGGCUGAGAGGAAGAACCCUCACAUCUUCCUCUUGGCCUUUCUCCUCUGAGAAUCCUGGCGCCAUCUAGAAGGAUAUUCCAGCUCGUGUAACUGAUGUCACGACAGAUUCUCAAACACUUGGUUUCUCCUGAGGGGCAUGUCUAGAGAACUGAAGACUUCAGACAGCACUGUAUCCCAGCAUGCAUCUCUGCUCACUCAGACCACACCCCAAUGAGUAGGAUGCAACACUCUAGUGAUGGUGAUGUAGAGUUUUAUAAGUAACGAGGGAGCAGACAAAGGUGAUUAGAACAUGUCAAGUCGGUAAAUCUUUAAACCAUGAAGAUGGUUUGAUAGUUCAGGAAUUGGGUUUCUUUUUAUUAUGGGCAGUCCUUUCACUCAGAUGCCCACAUCUCACUGGACCUGUACAUGUGUUGGCUGGCUUGCAUGAUUUGCUGUUGGUGAUGAGGCGGUCAGGUUGACAUUGCAGGGCUAUGUUUGGCUCUCUGUGAGCUCAAUGUUUAGAUUUGCUCUGUAUGGUUUGUACCCUGAAUAAUCUAGAUAAUUGUAAAAUGUAGACACGGUUUUGUAUUGAAUGAUUUUAGGUUUAUAGUUGUUGUGGGAAGUACAUGGUAGUUUGGUUCUUCAUACGGUUUUGAGUGAUAUAAUUUGUACACACUGGGUGCAUAAUAAUGUAAAGGUACACUGAAUAGUAUUAAUGACCAACAGCAACAAACGGAUCUCCUCAAGGUAAGUCUGUUGGCUGUGUGUUAAUGAAGACCAUCGCUGGACUUCAGGAUGUUCCUCCGUUCAGCUCAAGGUUAGGCGCUGGAUCUGUUUUUUUCUUUGGUUGGUUCCGGCCGGAAUGUUCGGAUUCCAGUCGGAGGGUUUGUGCUUCCCCGCCGUGGAAGGUUCUGAGUGCGGUCACUUGAUUUAGUCCCAAUGGUUAGCAUAGAACAUUGUAGUCUUGACAACCAUAAGAAACCACCUGGCAGUUAGUUGGACGGGAGCCCCCUGAGGGAAAUCUGGCGGAACGUUCUGGAUUGUAUUUGCGUAACCUCGAGCCGUUGCCAACGGAAACUAUUUUUCAGUCGUUUCCAUUGGGAAUUGUUGCCCCUUAUCUUAAACAACUUAAGUUUGAUAUUAAAUACAUAUUGACACGUACGUCGUAUAUGUUGAUAAUUUCUGAUGGUUGCGCCGUACUUUUAACCACGUUGACGUGACGGGACUCUCAUUGCGUACAAAACAGCGUUCUACUUGCGGGUCCAUUUUGACAUCAGUGAAGGCUGAAAAUCAUUUCAAGGUGGAAGACAAUUUGACAUUACUUCAACUGAACCCAGCACCUGAAUAUGGCUGAGUAUAUUUGAUUUAAUAUUGAUACUGCUUAGUGUUCUUUGUUACUUCAGCUUUUGUAUGUUCUAAAUAUCUGCUGUCAUUAAUUGCCACAGAAAUUAAACCCUACCCAAUGGAAUGACGUUAAACAACGACUUUGGUGCAGAGUUAACAACUAGAUAAUAUCAAAGCUUAAAUAAUGGCCGUCCUUCCCACAUGUUAAAGUAGAAGAUGCUCUAGAACUGUGCAUGGUUAAAAAGUUAACGUGUAGUUUGCCCCAAGGUGUCUGCCUCCUUACCCAGAGCAAGACCUCCACCUCCUCACCCAGAGCAAGACCUCCACCUCCGGUCAGAAGUCCUCCAGAACAGCUGAAAGGUGAGGCUGAGAGGCUUGGGACCGGAGGCUUGUGGCGCCAGGAUGGACCGGAGACUGAGGCUGGAGACCAGUGGCCUGCAGCACUGGACCAGAGGACCAAGAAUCCAUGGCUGAAGGAGCUGAUGGAGGAGGCGUACUGAAGGAGCUGAUGGAGUCGUGCUGAAGGCCCUGCCUAGUGGAGGAGCUGAUGGAGGCCCUGCCUGGUGAAGGACGUCUGUCGUGGGGUAGAUGGAGCCUGACUCUGAAACCAGGACUCUGAGGAGAGCUGCUGGAGGAGCUGAGACGUUGGAGGACGACUAGGAACCGACCAACAAGGAUUCCUCAUAAGUUUGUAUUUAUUUACAUGGUUGACUUAAAGGGCAAAAUACAGCUGUUACUUUGACAUGCGUUAACCAACUACCGCUGUGUUUUCUUACUGGAACGUGUUUCUGGAGCGGAGGCGAGCUGGUAGGGGAGCCGUGAAUCUGGAGGAUGACCAUCACUCGACCAACAAGGAUUGCGUUAGGGCCAGACUCGCGCUGUUUGUUCCAGACCAGGACACUGGCUGAGGAGAGCUGAUGGAGGAGCCAAGAGUCUGGAGGACGACAUCACUCUACCAACCAGGAUCCUCAGACAAAUUAAGUUUGUAACCAGACCAGGAAUCUGGAGGACUGAUGGAGAAGCUUUAUAUCUGGAAGGCAAAUCCUGAGGACCACCAGGACUCUACCAUCAAGGAUUCCUCACACACCUGAGCUGAACCCUACCUGAUCCUGUUUGGUCGGGGGUAGACACACCUGAGCUAAACCCGUCCUGAUCCUGACAUCCUGCUGGUCCUGUCUCCUCAGUUCAUCUGAGCCUCGUCCUCCAGAAGACCUGCUGAGCUCAGCAGUCUGAGGCUGAUGGAUCAAUGACCUCCAGUGGGAGUGAUCUUCUUGACCCCACAUGUAACCGUGUGCUUCCACACGCCUUUCUCUCACGUCUGUCACUAACCUCACUACUUCACUACUCUCUACUGCUUCCUCUUUUCUUCCUUCUCUGUGGUUCAAACCUUUACACUGAAGGCGCGUCUUCCUGCCCUCAGAGGGUUUAGCAUUAGGGUUGAGAGUCAGGGUUUAGAGUCAGGGACAGAGCUGUUCAGGGAGGACUGCUUUUACACAAACCUCUUCACUUGCUUUCGGAAUGGUGGUGUCAUUUUGAAAAGAUUCAUUUGGGAAAAUGUUUUCCUCUGCUUUCCUUUACAAAAUUGUAUUAAACUUCUGUCAAGUGUUUUUGUUUAUUAAAAUCCCACAUUGACUUCUACAUGUUUGGUGCGGUUCAUUUAAUUGUCCUUUAACUUGGUUAAUGUCAAGCUAAACUCCUGCAAUACAUUUAAUAUACAUGAUUGUUAUUCAGCAAUGUUCACAUAAUGCAUUUUGUAAAAAUAUGAAACCUCCAUAUUGCUACGAUAUUCAAGCCUAUUCAUGCAUUUAACAAUGUACAUACUGCCCUGCAGGCCAUUCUCUGCUACUUCAACACGUUCAGUCCACCAACCCGUCUCACAUCAAUGUAGCUACGUUGGUUCAAACGGAAAAUGUAGUUUGGUGUGAGACUGUUGUCCAGCAGAGGGAGCCAUCAUACACCUUAAUUAUACAGGAAUGCCUAUUUACAUUUUAAGAUGUUCAUGUGCUGGUCUAGUUUGUCUGCAAAUAACUCUGCCUCCAGCAACAGGAUUGGUCGAAACAUAUGAUGUGAAUAUUUGAGUCAGUGUGUGACGUGACUUUACAGACAAAUCGAU
ensembl:lncRNA